UAAAAUGCAAUGAGCGGAAAAGUAUAAUUUUGUUGACUUUCAGAGAAAUAGCGGUUGGUGCGAGCUAUCAAGCGAUAAAAUUAGAAAGCUACCCGUGAGCACCUAGCAAAACUAGGCGCUAUGCCAGCGAUAUCGGCAUUAAGUGAGCUAUUUGCUAACUAAGGUGGUACCACGGGAGAAGACCCUCGUCCUUUAU
rfam:Megamonas funiformis YIT 11815 genomic scaffold supercont1.5, whole genome shotgun sequence.